UCAUGCCUUGAAGAUAGGUCAUAGCUAUAGCCAUUAAGGGAGCCAGCUCUUCCAGGAGCAACCUGCUCCUUGUGCCACCUUGGUUGUUCACAUAUGAAGCCACCGCUCGGUUGUCUGUUUUGAUUAGAACCCAAGAAUUCCUUAGCCUUGGUAGGAAUCUCAAAAUGGCCUUGUAAACCGCUCUCAGUUCCCUUAAGUUUGAGUGUAGGCGACUCUCUUCUCGGGUCCACUUCCCUUGAGUCCAUACAGAACUGAAGUGGGCACCCCAUC